rnacentral:rRNA from 1 species
GACGAACACUGGCGGCGUGCUUAACACAUGCAAGUCGAACGAAGUGGCGAACGGGUGAGUAACGCGUAAUCAACCUGCCCUUCAGGGGGGGACACCAGUUGGAACGGACUGCUAAUACCGCAUACUGAAGAAGGGGAUUGCGUCUGAUUAGCUAGUUGGGGGGGUAACGGCCCACCAAGGCGAUGAUCAGUAGCCGGUCUGAGAGGAUGAACGGCCACAUUGGGACUGAGACACGGCCCAGACUCCUACGGGAGGCAGCAGUGGGGAAUCUUCCGCAAUGGACGAAAGUCUGACGGAGCAACGCCGCGUGAGUGAUGACGGCCUUCGGGUUGUAAAGCUCUGUUAAUCGGGACGCGGUACCGGAAUAGAAAGCCACGGCUAACUACGUGCCAGCAGCCGCGGUAAUUC